UACAGAGGUCUCAAGCGUUGUUCGGAUUCAUUGGGCGUAAAGGGUGUGUAGGUGGCGCCGUAAGUCGGGUGUGAAAUUUCGGAGCUUAACUCCGGAACUGCACUUUAUACUGCCUUGCUAGAGGGCUGGAAAGGAGACUGGAAUUUACGGUGUAGCAGUGAAAUGCGUAGAGAUCGUAAGGAAGACCAGUGGCGAAGGCGAGUCUCUGGAAAGCUGCUGACGCUGAGGCACGAAGGCCAGGGGAGCAAACGGG
rnacentral:rRNA from 1 species